UUAAUGAAUAACAUUUUUGACUUUUUAGGCAAGAAGAGGAGAUUCCUGUUUCACUUGAUGAUGAAAUUCAGAAAUAUAACAGAUAUACAGAAAGAUAUGAAGAAGAGAAUCAAAAAUGGGAGAAGCUUCAAUUACAGUAUAGAGAAGAUUUGACAUCUGCUGUAAAUUCAAAUACUGUUACAUUCAACAAAUCCUUGGAUUUGAGCAUGUAUCAUCAAUAUGACUAUUCUGGCGUAUUAGAAGAGAUAAAUUCUUUAGCUAAAGAUAUGGAUUUUGAGGUCAAUGGAUUGGCACAAACAGUCAAUAUUCUUAAAAGUACUUUGGAAAUGGGGAAUGUUUUCAUAUCUGAAUUGAAUUUAAAAGCAAUGAAAUAUCUAGAUGAACAGAGUCAUCAGACACCAAGAACUAUUAUCAGAAAAGUUCUUUCUUCGAAUACAGUUUGUAAGAGCAAAAAGCAAUGAAAAAUUAAGCAUCACCUAUAAUUUUUUGUAUGGCAUUUCAUGAUAGAUGAUGAUGAAUACAAUGCUUUUUUACUUUAUUAAUUUAGUUAAGAUCAAAGGAAGAGUAUUUUGUAUUUAUUGAAAGGAAGACUUCAUUGAAUACAUUUUUAAAUAAAAAUAUUUUAAAAUUAUCUGAUGUAAAUGUGAUGAGGUAUUUGUAUGAUCUUGAGGCUAAAAGUUUAUUUGUCAUCUGGGCCGACUUCUGUUUGCAACCGUAAAUAAUAAUUUUUGUAUGAUAAUUGUUGCAAAAAUUGUUGAAUAUUCAUGAUUUGACCAAUGGAUGAAGAUUCUAUAUCCUGAGUCUAGUAAAAUAAGGGAUGAAAUGACUGUUACUAAAUUUAUCAUGUACGUGUAAAUAUUUUCUCAUUUUUUGAAGAAAAAAAAUUAUAUUUUAUCUUAUUAGUGUAAUUUUGAAAGUAAAAAAAACAUGUUUUAUUUAUAUUAGAAAUUUCAUAAUGAGAAUUUCAGCUCUUCAUAUAUCAUGAACAUAUUUUAAUUUUUCUAGCAUGAUAUGCCAUAUUUUAAAUUUUCUUAUUAUUUUUGUGUAUUAUAAAAUUGCAAUUUUAUUAAAUUACAAGAGAUCAGAAAUUAAAGUGAUUUAUUUGUAACAAUUUUAAUGUUACAAACGUUGCUCAGAAGCCAGUGUGGUCAAGUCCAGAAAAUGAAAAUUGAAAAAUGAAUAUUUUAAUACAUUAAUUUUUAAAAAUUUUGAUUUAUUAAUUCGAUCAGAAAAGUAUAUUAAGUCUCCUUUUUCAAAGAGUAGAUACUGCAACGAAAUAAGAUAUGUACUGGAUGUGGAAAUAAAAAAGUAAAUUUUGAUUGAGAUAGUGGCAGGCAACUGAAUAAAUUUGUAUUAAAAUAAUACAAUAUUAUAUGUUGUCAGAAGUUUUACAUUUAUUCAUCAUAUCAACCAUCUUUUUCUUCUGAAUUACUUAUAAAUUUUGAUCUCCACAUGUUGUUCUUAAUGUCCUGAAAAAGUCAUAUUUUGUUGGAAAUAUAUACUUUAAAAAAUUCAUCAUAUCUUUUUUGUUUGUUUGGAAAUUGUUCUACCAUUAGGCUACAAUAAUGGUUGUUUUAUAUUUUUUAAGAUUGCUGUCCAUCUUCUUUUUUAUGUCAGUUAUAAUUGACAGAGGAUGGGGACACCUGGACUAGAGGUAAACAGGUAUUUAUCCUGUGUUGUCCACUUAUCUAAAUGCAUCAACUCCCAAAAGGCCACCUCGUGAGUUAAUUGUAAACUGCUCUGAAAUUACAAUGGCCUUAUAAAGGCUUAGUGCAUCUGAGUCAUUUAGGAGACCUAGGUUAUAUUACAAAAACAGGACACAAAAUUGUUAUUAUAUGAAUAUACUACACAGGAAUAUUAUGCCGUGGGAGCGCAAUUUCAAUUCACAUAAGAAUACAUAUAAGUGUUUGAUAUAUGAACUGUACUAGAUAGAUCAUUAUGUAUAUACAUGCUUUCUUUAAUUACACCAUGUAAGAAUGUUAAACUAAAUAAAAUUCAAAAUGCGAAAAUA
rnacentral:lncRNA from 1 species